UCGGACAUGGUGUAUUGUACACGGCCUCCCAACAUGUGUCAUUGGUGGCAUACAAAAUUGUUGGAGGCAGACCGGGGUUCGACUCCCCGUGUCCGAA